AGCCAGCAGCCCGAGGGGCGCCCGGUGCGGGAUUUCCUCAGCGGGUGCGCGUCGCGUUCUCAUACAGCGACGUUACAGUACGUGAGAGGGCUUUAAGAAGCUCUCUGAGACAAACGCGGCGUAAGCAAUAGCAGGUUCGCUGGGCGGCGUUCAGAUGGGGGGGCGCCUGGUGGCUGUGCGCUCCCUGCAGGUACCCCAGGAGUUAGUUCCCUCCUGCACCGGGCCUCGUCCUGAGCCACCGUGCGAAGCAAGCUGCAGCUCUGCAAAGGCUACGCUUUUUGCUGGUCUUUGUCCCGUCCCCAGCUUUUAUUUCUUCCCCGUCGUGAACGCAGAACAGAAAAGAAAGUACUUGCUGGCCUCCGUUCUAUGUUUGUGCAGAUUUCUAAAGUGACACAGCGUGAUGGGAGAAUCACCAGCCUCUGGAAACAAGCCUAUAUUUUAACCUAUGGUGAUGCUUAGUUGAGAGAGAGAGCAAGUUUCUUGGAGGUGGCAGAAAUCCUGUUCCCAACCCUCUCAUUAGUUCUUGGCAAUCCUCCUUUGGAAGGACAGGGUCUGAUAAGCUGUCAGUUCAGUAAUGAUGCCUGAAUUUAUUUUUUUUAAAGUCCAUUCUGUCUCAGUACUAUUUCAAGUAUUCAGAUUAAACAUUUAAGUCUUUUUUUUUUUCAAGUAAGUGUUCUGUUUAAAAGAACAAGGUGAACUGCUGCAAAGUUCACGUCCUUCCUAGUGCACAUUUAUCAGGGUGGCAGGUGUGUGCGGGCAGUGCUGAGUGGGCCCUUUUUACGUCUUCCUGGAGUCCCUCAAUGCUUAGGCCUCCACAGUUGCAAAAGCACUUUAAAACCACAGGCUGGAGUGAUGGUGGGACAGACACAGGAACUGCUGAAGCCAUCGUUGACGUGGAAUAUGAGAAGGAAGAUCUAAAAUAGGGAGCUGCCAGUGGCAAGGUGGGGAGCAACAGCCAAGCAGGACUGCUGGAGCCGUAUCCUGAGGUUUCUGGUGGGAGCUGCCCGUUCAUCGCAUGUGCCUGCCAAAGCCAGGCCCUAAACAGCCUUUCUCUAGCCAGCCCGCAGGAGCCAGGAGUCAUUAACGAUGCAACAGGAAUAAUGGCACCUCCGGAGUGAAUCAUAUGUUAGUUCCAGCAGCUCUGUAAGCGCAGGUGGUGGUGAGAGAGCACCUGUCUGAGAGCUGGCUGGGCCACAAGACAGAGCGGGAUGGCUGCAGGCACCGCACUGAGCUUUUGGUAGCGUGGGGCUGUUUUACCGCUCGGCUCCUGCGUGGGAGGCAGUCUCGUGGUGGCAAGAGCAGAUGGCACGUAGUGCUGGUGCGCAGGUCCUCUCUCGGGUAAGCACCGCUGGAAGGGCAGCGUGUCAGGUGCCCAGCGGUGGCUGGUUCUGAGCCUAAGGGAAUAAGAGCAGUCAGGGCGUUUCUGUGUUGUUGGGUUUUGUUUUGCCUUUUUUUUUUCCACUAGGACAAAUGCUGGCCUACUUUUCAUUUUCUGAAGUGUCUCGUCAGUCUAACCUGUGACAACUGGUAUUCUCUAGUCAUCCUUAGUGAAACUGAUGCAUCAACAUUGGAACAGCUCCUCUGACCAAAUCCUUACAGUUAUUUUUUGCAUUGAAACGCAACACUGAUACGUGCAGCAUGCAAAUUUGCCCAGCAGCGGAACCACCAGGCAGGACACCUGCUCUUCCCCACGUGAUACGGUUAAACAAAGUAUGGGGAAAAGAAGAAAAAGCCUACAGACUCUUGCCUUAAAGAGGAUAAGGCAUUCCUAACUUUGCCUGUCAGACUUUAAUUUACUCCAUUGGUAACAGGUUUCUAAAGCCCUUAAUUGAUGGGAUUGGCUUGCUCACCCCUUUAGGUUUUCUUUCUCCAUGGGUAGAGGAAUAGAAAUCAAUAAAGAUAAGUACAUUUCAGAAGAA